rnacentral:rRNA from 1 species
AUAUUGGACAAUGUGCGAAAGCCUGAUCCAGCCAUGCCGCGUGUGUGUAGAAGGUCUUCGGAUUGUAAAGCACUUUAAGUUGGGAGGCUGGGUUGUAGGUUAAUACCCUCCCCUUUUGACGUUACCAACAGAAUACGCACCGGCUAUCUUCGUGCCAGCAGCCGCGGUAAUACGAAGGGUGCAAGCGUUAAUCGGAAUUACUGGGCGUAAAGCGCGCGUAGGUGGUUCGUUAAGUUGGAAGUGAAAGCCCCGGGCUUAACCUGGGAAUUGCUUUCAAAACUGACGAGCUAGAGUACGGUAGAGGGUAGUGGAAUUUCCUGUGUAGCGGUGAAAUGCGUAGAUAUAGGAAGGAACAUCAGUGGCGAAGGCGACUACCUGGACUGAUACUGACACUGAGGUGCGAAAGCGUGGGGAGCAAACAGG